rnacentral:tRNA from 2 species
GGACGGUUAGCUCAGCGGUAGAGCGCUUCGUUGACAUCGAAGAGGUCACAGGUUCAAGUCCUGUACCGUCCACCA